rnacentral:rRNA from 1 species
UACGUAGGGGGCAAGCGUUAUCCGGAUUUACUGGGUGUAAAGGGAGCGUAGACGGCCAGACAAGUCUGAAGUGAAAAUCCAGCGCUUAACGUUGGAAGUGCUUUGGAAACUGCCGGGCUAGAGUGCAGGAGGGGCAGGCGGAAUACCUAGUGUAGCGGUGAAAUGCGUAGAUAUUAGGAGGAACACCAGUGGCGAAGGCGGCCUGCUGGACUGCAACUGACGUUGAGGCUCGAAGGCGUGGGGAGCAAACAGG